UAAAACGUUUCAAUUUCAAUUUAUAAUUUAACACCUUCGUCAAAAUGAGUUGAUAUAUUUUUUUCAAAUAAAAAAACUAAUGUACUGCAAUUACUAGGUCUCGCUGUAUAUAUCGUUAUAUCAUAUAUUCGAUUAGGCACGCCUCUGCAUACAAAAGAUCUCAUAUUUUUCUUUAUACCAACCACAUUAUUUAUUUUAUAUGUUAUACAAGGACCAAUAAAAAAGCUGAAAAUAAACUAUUUCAGCGAAGAAAAUAUCUAAGCGAACAUAACGUGUUUUCUGAAAGUUGCUAAAGAGAGCGAAGUGAGCGUUCCCUUGUCGUGUGCUGCUGCUUCUUUAUUGGUAGAUGUGCUACGACGAUUAUCAUUACCCUGAAAUUUCGUCGUCGCUCUCGCUGUCAACAAUGUUUUCGGUUCGUGACCUUAGAGCAGUGCCUUCUUCAAUAGAGGUCAAAUUCUCAAAGAUCCCGCUCCGUUUGGACACGGCAGCCUGAUUUACAAGUUGCGAUACUUCUAGGAAAAGAAAACGAAACUUAUCAACAUGGCUGAGAAAUCUUUGAAUAGCGAAAAAAACGGAUUGAAUCAUGUGCGAGUUCUUACUUUGAAUAACGGAGAGCAUCAAGAUGGAAUUCAAUACAGGGUAAAAAAAGGAUGGCACAUCGAAUUUCAACUUGGACCUUCUUUAUUUGGGAAGUUAGUACACGUUUAUACAAACCAUCCACCAACGAGCGAUCUACCGUUCGAGAGACACACGUAUUAUCAACUUCAGUGGAACAAGGAUUCGGCUUCAAUGCCAGUUAUGUUCGCAGGAUCGUUCCAUUAUUAUGCGACAGAUUCAAAAGAUGGGGAUGGCUUGAAGGCAAUCGCAUCGGGGUAUCUAUUGGUAGAACCAGAACUCCAACUACCUGGAUGUAAAGGAGUUCUCCCUCUUGAUUGUAUCCAAUGUCAAACUGUUAUUUCAAAAUGCCUCGGCCCUUUUUCUACUUGGGAGGAAAAACUCAUGGUCGGACGUAAUACAGGCUACAAUAUGAUCCACUUCACGCCAAUCCAGGUACUGGGAGACUCUCAUUCGGCUUACAGUAUCAGUGAUCAACUAAAAUUGAAUCCUGCUUUCAACAAUGAGAACGGAAAACCAACGAUGUUCGACGAUGUCCAAGAACUUAUCAACAAAAUGCGCAACGAAUGGAACGUUUUGAGUAUCUGCGACAUAGUCUUGAAUCAUACGGCAAAUGAGAGCCCAUUUUUACUUUCUCAUCCGGAAUGCACGUAUAAUUGUCUCAACAGUCCACAUUUACGACCCGCCUACUUAUUGGACAUUACCCUGUUCGAAUUAACAGUGCAAGUUGCUGAUAACGAGUGGGAAUUGAAGGGAAUUCCGUCAAUAGUCGAAACCGAGGAUCACUUGAAUGCAAUACGUCACGCUCUGCAUACUUACUUCUUACCUCUCGCCAAGAUUCACGAGCUAUAUACUGUUGAUGUUGAUAGAGUCAUUGAUGAUUUUUUGAAUAUCGCUCGUACAAGAAUACCCGAAGAUCCAGCAGCGAACUCACAGACACCGGAAAUGACUAUUUCCAUUAUUCAAAAUCCGGAAUAUCUUAGACUCAAGUCAACGGUAGACAUGCAGCUUGCACUACGAAUUUAUAACACCUACAGGGCGGACUGCUUCGAUGAAGAUACCCGUUUAAAACGCUGUGCUGAAGAUCUGCGAAAGAGCUUACAAGAUUUAAACACCGUGAUAACCAAUGAGAUCCAGAACAACUUGAACGCUGCAGUAGAAAACACAAUUGCUAGUAUUCGAUAUUUCAGGGUACAGCAAGAUGGUCCAAAAAUCAAAGAAAUAAGUGAACGGAAUCCUCUGAUACCGAGGUAUUUUACUGAUUAUGGAGCGCCAAGAUCGUUUAUGGAACGUGAAGCUGCUAUGUAUUCGGAAAAUGGUUGCUAUUUAAUGGCACACAACGGUUGGGUAAUGAACGGUGACCCCCUAAAAAAUUUUGCCGAUCCUGAUUCGAAUAUUUACAUCCGUCGUGAAUUAAUCUCUUGGGGUGACAGUGUUAAACUAAGAUUCGGUGAAAAGCCAGCAGACAGUCCUUUUAUUUGGCAACACAUGGCCAAUUACGUCGAACAAACUGCCAAGAUUUUCGAUGGCAUCCGGUUGGAUAACUGUCAUUCAACUCCGAUACCCGUUGCUGAGUACAUGCUCGACGUCGCACGACGAGUCCGUCCGGAUUUGUACGUCGUAGCUGAACUCUUCACUAAUUCGGAUCAGAAGGACAAUAUCUUUGUAAACCGCUUAGGCAUCACUUCUCUAAUUAGAGAGGCAAUGUCAGCUUGGGACAGCCACGAGGAGGGGCGUUUGAUUUAUCGCUACGGCGGUGAACCAGUCGGAGCCUUUUUUCAAUCACGUCAGCGUCCUCUUGUACCAUGCAUCGCCCAUGCUCUUUUCAUGGAUCAGACACAUGACAAUCCAAGUCCCAUAGAGAAACGCAGCAUAUUUGAUUUAAUACCAAGCGCUGCUCUGGUUUCAAUGGCCUGUUGCGCUAGUGGGAGCAAUCGCGGAUACGAUGAGCUGGUCCCUCAUCACAUUCACGUGGUCGAUGAAAAUAGACAAUACACAGCAUGGAGCGAGGAAAAAGAGCUCGACAAAAAGAACUCACGUUACGUGGGUUUCGAAUCAGGAAUCAUACGCGUCAAACGAGCACUGAACAAUCUUCAUUUUAGCUUGGGCCAAGAUGAAUUUUCACAGGUAUUCGUCGAUCAAAUGGACCCUGAUAUCGUGGCAGUGACGAGACACUCGCCCAUGACUCACGAGAGCAUAGUUCUGGUGGCGUUUACCGCGUUCAAACAUCCUAAUUCAACUGCCAAGGAUCUCAGGAGGCACGUGCGGCCGUUGCGAAUCGAAGGAGUUGUCGAGGAAAUUAUAUUGGAGGCUUCAUUUUCAUACAAAGCCAAUGAAUCGCCUUUCCACUAUCCCGAUAAACACGUCAAAGACGAGGAUUUUAUAAAUGGUUUAACGGAUUACGUGGUUGAUUUCAAAGAGCAUAUUCAAAUUUGCGAUUCGGCGGUAUUCAACAAAGUUGAUUCGGGAGAUUCAAAAAUAACGCAGUUAAACUUCGUUAACUUUCAACCCGGCUCAAUCGUAGUGAUUCGUGUCUCUCUACAUGCUGAUAUAAAACCCGCUCUGUCGAAAUUGAAUGCAACUAUUGAAAUGGUGACAUCGUUCGAAAGCUCGGAACUUCGAGCGAUUGUAUCCCGCAUGGAUUUGGCCGAUAUGAAUAAGGUUUUGUUCCGCUGUGAUCAGGAAGAACGCGACGAAACCGGCAAUCGUUUCGGGGUUUACAAUAUUCCUUCUUACGGGCCUGUAACUUAUGCCGGUUUUCAAGGAGUAAUUUCUCUACUCGCUGAGAUUCGUCCGAACAACGACCUCGGUCAUCCUUUGUGCGUUAAUCUCCGUGAGGGUAAUUGGCUCAUCGAUUAUUUUUGGCAACGCCUUAGAGAUGACGAAGCCACCAGCCAUCUUGGCAAAUGGUUAGAAGACGCCGCUGAACCUUUCAAAUUAAUCCCUCGUUAUCUUGUUCCUAGUUACUUCGAUGUCAUCAUCGUUAAUCUCUAUAUGAUUCUCUUGGAACAAUCCUACGCACUUAUGUCUAGUUUCGUUCAAGAAGGCUCUACUUUUGUGAAGCUGCUCUCGCUGGUUUCUGUACAAGUUGGAGGUAUCGUUCAAUCUUCUCCACUUCCUGACUUAUCACCGAAUUUAAAUCCUCCAAAACCAAAAACUAGAGUGACAAAUAACGUUGAAGAACAAAUGUGCCUUACGAUAUCGGCUGGACUCCCACAUUUUGCGACUGGAUAUAUGAGAAAUUGGGGGCGUGAUACGUUCAUCGCACUUCGAGGAAUGUUCCUUUUAACCGGUCGGUACGAAGAGGCCCGAUUCAUUAUUCUCGGAUAUGCUGCAACAUUGCGACAUGGCCUUAUACCAAAUUUAUUAGACAAAGGAACAAAUGCCCGGUUCAACUGUCGUGACGCGAUUUGGUGGUGGUUGUAUACGAUUCAAUGUUACACUCAACACGUACCGAAUGGUUUGAAAAUUUUCUCGGACAAAGUAUCCAGAUUAUUCCCUACUGAUGAUUCUCCUCCACUUCCGGCAGGACAAGCGGAUCAAGCUCUGUACGACGUAGUUCAAGAAGCACUAACGAUUCACUUCCAAGGACUUUGUUUCCGUGAGCGGAAUGCUGGACAGAAAAUUGAUGAGCAUAUGACCGAUCGGGGCUUCAAUAAUCAGAUCGGAGUGCAUCCAGACACCGGAUUUGUAUUCGGUGGUAAUGAUGCCAAUUGUGGUACUUGGAUGGACAAAAUGGGAUCUUCAGCUAAAGCGGGAAAUAAAGGAAAACCUGCAACACCGCGUGACGGUUCAGCGAUAGAAUUAGUUGGAUUGAGCAAAUGCGCUUUGGGAUUCCUUGCAGAGCUCUAUAAACAGAAUCUAUUUCCAUAUGGAAGUGUUCAGCGAAAAAAUCGUGAUGGUACUCUCGUAACAUGGAGCUAUAAACAGUGGUCUGAAAGAAUCAACGCCAACUUUGAAAGUUACUUCUUCGUAAACGAAGUACCUGUAGAGGGUGAGAUGGAUCCGGAAUUAAUUCAUCGCCGUGGAAUUUACAAAGAUACUCAUGGAGCGACUCACGCCUGGGCUAAUUAUCAACUUCGCCCCAAUUUUCCAAUCGCAAUGGUCGCAGCACCUGAACUAUUCGAUCCUCAUCAUGCAUGGACCGCGUUGGAACAGGCUGAGCGGAUUUUACUUGGUCCUUUAGGCAUGAAGACUCUCGAUCCUGCCGAUUGGGCAUAUAAUGGAUAUUACGACAAUUCGAACGAUACGAGUGAUACGAAAUUAGCCCACGGUUGGAAUUAUCAUCAAGGACCGGAAUGGGUUUGGCCGAUGGGAUUUUUCCUCCGUGCUAAGUUGCACUUUGCACCACUGGUCGGAGGGGUAGAAGAACUUGAACGGACGAUCGCAUGGACCGAAACAAUAAUAUCACGACAUUUGGUUGAAGCGUCAACGAAUCAUUGGCGAGGAUUGCCGGAAUUGACGAACAAAGACGGUGAAUAUUGUCGCGAUAGUUGUCGCACCCAAGCUUGGAGCGCUUCAACUAUCCUCGAAGUUCUAUACGACCUUGAGACGCUGAAAAAGGAAUUACGAAGGAAUCACGAAAAAAGCGAGAAUACGAACUGAUACAAUUUUGCGUGUGUUCACCAUAGCCACUUGUACUUAGAUUAUGAGAAACUGGUGGAAAAGAAAGAAAAGAUUAAGAAAAAUGAUGGGCAAAAAUGGACUAUAGAGGAUCAACGGUACCAGAUUCAAAAAGCACCAGGUAGUCAAAACAAAGAAAAGCGAAGGGAAACGCACGCAAAUGAAAAAAAUCAGUCACGUGAAAAGAAAAAUGAGAGCACUAUUAUACCAAACGUACCUGCGUCCAAUCUCACGUGUCCAAUAAUAUUACAAACAACAUCGAAAAUGGCAGCGGGCCAUCCGAUCAAUUUUAAAAUGAGUGGAAUUGGAAAAGCCUAUUCUCAAUGACAUUUUUGAUCUACGAAGCAAUUUGGGACCUCGUAUCGAGCUACUCGGGAGAAACAUUGAAGAAAUCGGCGAAAUAAAUACACAGGUUUACCAUCGUGCUGUUAACUACAUAUACUCGAGAAUAUCCGAGUUUGGAUAUCCGCCAAGUAUCUUCGUUUCGACCGUUAAAUCGAGUCGAACAUCCUUGAGUAUUAAAACCUCCAAUUGCAAUGAGAAUACAAUUUAUUGGUUGAAUUGCAAUAACAAUUUGAAAAAUCGCGUCGAUAGUAAAAGUGAACGUGGCGAGCGAUCGAUAACGUCCGUCAGCGAGACUCACAACAAUAGAUCCAGUCUUUUGCUACUCGAACCACUUCUCUUGAUGCCCGAACUCGUCAAUCCGAGGCAAAAUUCCGGAAAAAACCGCAUUGCUCAUUCCGAGCACGUCAAAAUAGUACGAAUGGUUAUUGCGUAUACACUUUCAUUUUUUCUUUUAGCCAUAAUCACGUUCUACAUAGUAUAUUUCACGUAGAAAGUGGCUGCCUUAAUAGAUUUAUUUUACACUGCUCUGUGUCAAUGGAAGUAUCCAUUACACGAUAGUGGUUUUUAAAAGUUCAUGUAAACGACAGUUUUAUGGAUUGUUUUCCUCGGAUAUUCUUCUUACCACAUAUUGAGAUUUCUCAUUUAUAGUUUCCCAUUUGCCGUAUGGUAUCAUUUGUGAAAUCAGAUACAUACGUUUUAAACUGAUGUAAAAAUGGUUUAUAUAUAUUAGGGGUGCUCAAAAAAAGUUUUCUCAAAAGUUUCUGGUAGGUAAAAGAAAACUUCUCCGGUAAACGCGACUCCAUAUUUUGAUUCUACUAGAUUCUCAACAGGUUUUCGUUUUUCCCUAUAAAUAACACGUGAUUUUUUUUUUCGUUUUCUUCAAAUAAAACUAUUAAAGAAUUUUUUUUACAAUUUUGAUUGACAGAUUUUUGUAGGAUAUUAAAUUCUCUACAAAAAAACUCAGAUAUGGUUUUCUCAUAAACUUAACAGGUAAAAAGUUAUCCGACUUGAAUACCAGUAACCAAUUUGAUUCUAAUAGUAUAUGAUUUUAGAACGCGUUUUUAUUUCACUGGAUCUUACUGUAUAUCAAGAGACCCGGUAGAGUCUCGAGACCAGUACUGUUGUCUGGUAUACAGUAUACAGUACCAUUGACAGUCCUGUUAUAGCAGAUAACAGGACUAUCAAUGGUACUGUAUUCUUGGAUCAGCAGGAUCCGAGGCUCGCCGAGACUGUACUUUCUUUGAAUAAACCGAUUCGCGGUGGUGGGGGUAAAAUCAGCAUGUCAUUUCCUAGAAUGAUCGAGCUCAGGAGAUGUUUCGUAAAGCGAAAAUUGGUCAAAACCAACAUGAUCAGUGGCGUAAUUGCUGAGAAAAAACUUUGUACGGGCUUAAGAUUAUGCAAAAGCUACUAACACAUGUAGAAAUUUGACGUGUCUGUAUAUAACACCAUCAAAAGCCUCAUAUCCCUGGGGCUAACUUCACGGCAGUAUCGCGGAUAGACGUCACAUGACAAUACCUCCACUUCGUCACUAUCCAUUAUAUAUACCGAGGUAGUUUGAUCAAUCGGUUAAGGGUUAAAUGUUGUUUUGAUAGUGUAUGACUAUAAAACGUAUUAUGCGAGUUUUGUAAAAACAGUGCGGGUGAGUUUACUUCCAUUUCAAUCGGUUCGCGAAUGUUUGUUGAUAUAUAAGAUAUCCGUAUUGGGAAAUUUAUCCUCGUAUAAACACUUUGAUUUUACGUUUAUUUGGGACAUUAUAUUUUUGCAAUCCUUAUUCUUAUUCCUUUGAAUUUUCAACGGGCGUUGCGAGAAAAAAAAAGUUCGUUUAUAAUAACCUCAAACGUUCUUUCCAACCAGAAAUUUUAUGUCGUAUAUAAUUAUAUUAAAGAAAAAACACGUGUAAUUGGUUGUAUGUAAAUGAAUUCAAAUAAAUUUUUUAAAAGUAUCAAGUAGAGGUGUCUAAUCCAA
rnacentral:misc_RNA from 1 species